GACGAACGCUGGCGGCGUGCUUAACACAUGCAAGUCGAACGGAAAGGCCCUGCUUUUGUGGGGUGCUCGAGUGGCGAACGGGUGAGUAACACGUGAGUAACCUGCCCUUGACUUUGGGAUAACUUCAGGAAACUGGGGCUAAUACCGGAUAGGAGCUCAUGCUGCAUGGUGGGGGUUGGAAAGUUUCGGCGGUUGGGGAUGGACUCGCGGCUUAUCAGCUUGUUGGUGGGGUAGUGGCUUACCAAGGCUUUGACGGGUAGCCGGCCUGAGAGGGUGACCGGCCACAUUGGGACUGCGGUACGGCCCAGACUCCUACGUUAGGCAGCAGUGGGGAAUAUUGCACAAUGGUCGGAAGCCUGAUGCAGCAACGCCGCGUUCGGGAUGACGGCCUUCGGGUUGUAAACCGCUUUCGCCUGUGACGAAGCGUGAGUGACGGUAAUGGGUAAAUAAGCACCGGCUAACUACGUG
rnacentral:rRNA from 1 species